rnacentral:rRNA from 1 species
CAUGUAGGCGGAGCAAUCAGUCAGUGGUGAAAUCUCCCGGCUUAACCGGGAGCCUGCUACUGAUACUGUUGCUCUUGAGUUCGGAAGAGGGAAGUGGAAUUCCAGGUGUAGCGGUGAAAUGCGUAGAUAUCUGGAAGAACACCAGUAGCGAAGGCGGCUUCCUGGUCCGAUACUGACGCUGAGAUGCGAAAGCGUGGGGAGCAAACA